GACAGAGGCCUCAAGCGUUAGGCGGAAUCACUGGGCUUAAAGCGCGUGUAGGUGGAUUUUUUAAGUGCCUUGUGAAAUCCUGCGGCUCAACCGCAGAACUGCUGGGCAUACUGGAAGUCUUGGGUCGUCCAGGGGGCAACCGGAACAAGCGGUGGAGCGGUGAAAUGCGUAGAUAUCGCUUGGAACGCCAAAGGUGAAGACAGGUUGCUGGAGACGGUACCGAACACUGAGACGCG
rnacentral:rRNA from 1 species